rnacentral:rRNA from 1 species
CCAAUAGCGUAUAUUAAAGUUGUUGCAGUUAAAAAGCUCGUAGUUGAAUUUCGGGAUUGACACAUCGGUCGUGCCUUAAGGGGUAUGAACUGGUGUAGUCAAUUUCUCACCUUCUGGAGAACCGCGAUGUCCUUAAUUGGGUGCCGCGGGGAACCAGGACCUUUACUUUGAAAAAAUUAGAGUGUUUAAAGCAGGCAUUUUGCUUGAAUACAUUAGCAUGGAAUAAUAAAAUAGGACGGAUGAUUCUAUUUUGUUGGUUUCUAGGACCACCGUAAUGAUUAAUAGGGAUAGUUGGGGGCAUUAGUAUUCAAUUGUCAGAGGUGAAAUUCUUGGAUUUAUUGAAGACUAACUACUGCGAAAGCAUUUGCCAAGGAUGUUUUCAUUAAUCAAGAACGAAAGUUAGGGGAUCGAAGACGAUCAGAUACCGUCGUAGUCUUAACCAUAAACUAUGCCGACUAGGAAUCAGACGAUGUUAAUUUUUUAAUGACUCGUUUGGCACCUUACG